UUCCUGUAGCAAUACAGGGAUGGGCGCACGGCGCACGGGUGCGUAACACGUGGGCAAUCUGCCCUUUGAUGGGGAAUAACCCGCCGAAAGGCGGGCUAAUUCCGCAUAAGAUUCUUUGGACCUCGGUCUGAAGAUUGAAAGCAGCAAUGCGUCGAAGGAGGAGCCCGCGCCCGAUUAGCUAGUUGGUGAGGUAACGGCUCACCAAGGCUAUGAUCGGUAGCUGGUCUGAGAGGAUGAUCAGCCACACUGGAACUGAGACACGGUCCAGACUCCUACGGGAGGCAGCAGUGGGGAAUCUUGCACAAUGGGCGAAAGCCUGAUGCAGCGACGCCGCGUGGGGGAUGAAGCAUUUCGGUGUGUAAACCCCUUUCGACUGGGACGAAUGCCUCGCAAGAGGAGUGACGGUACCAGUAGAAGAAGCCCCGGCUAACUACGUGCCAGCAGCCGCGGUAAGACGUAGGGGGCCAGCGUUGUUCGGAAUUACUGGGUGUAAAGGGUUCGUAGGCGGUGCGGCAAGUUGGGAGUGAAAUCUCUGGGCUUAACCCAGAGGCUGCUUCCAAAACUGCUGUGCUCGAGUGUGAGAGAGGCGCGUGGAAUUGCAGGUGUAGCGGUGAAAUGCGUAGAUAUCUGCAGGAACACCCGUGGCGAAAGCGGCGCGCUGGAUCACUACUGACGCUGAGGAACGAAAGCUAGGGGAGCAAACAGGAUUAGAUACCCUGGUAGUCCUAGCCCUAAACGAUCAGGACUUGGGGUGCCGCCCGUUCGGGCGUCGUCCCGGAGCUAACGCGUUAAGUCCUGCACCUGGGGAGUACGGUCGCAAGACUGAAACUC
rnacentral:rRNA from 1 species